rnacentral:lncRNA from 1 species
AAUGAAGAGGAGCCCCCAACCCCACCCCAGCUCUUCAGUGACAGUCACAACCCCACUGCCAGGAUCAAGAACAGAAGCCACAUCUGAUUUUUGUAAUCCCAAAUGCUAAACCUAAAUUCCCCAGAUGUGUCUCAACUCUAAGUGAAAUUUGUUCUUCUCAAAUAUGGUCAUUAAAGAAAGACUGGAGCUGUUCAAAGCAAGGAUUCCCAAGCCCUGAAGACAGCUUGAAAACAAAGAAGGUAUGUCAUUUAGUAGGUGGCACAAAACAUGGGAGGUCAGACCAUGCUUAGGCUUGGCGCUGUAUAGGAGCCUCAAAAUGUCCAUCUUGAAUUGAUAUUUAUUUGAAUGUAAAAGUCCUGUUAUAAACCUAAAAUCUACCUUAAUAUUUUGCAGAAGAAUAUUCUCUGUUAUUAUAUGCACAUAUAGAAAGAGCCAGGUACAUGGAACCGUUCAGAUUAGAGGCCCUUUCAGUGUGAUUUGUGCAUGUAAUGCGACUCGGGCUAUGUUUUACACAUUUUAACUUAGAUAAAAACUCAAAUGUAUUUUUCUAAGCCCCUCUUUCCAUAAUUCUUAAUCCCACGUGCAUUUUAAAGGAAAUGAAUUCCGUGUGUUUCUUAUUCUGUACACUUAACUCGUCAAGCAAUGCUUUGUAAGGAGCCUUUGAUAUCCAAGAAGCCCUUUGAGUCUUUUUAUGGGACUUUUUAAGCCUUUCUCCUCUGAAACAGGAAGUCAUGUUUGGCCACAACCAAAAGAACUCACAUACCAAAUGGUUUAAGUUCAACUUGAAAAGGCCACACCAUGGGGCUCGGAUGGUCGCAACAUGGCAACAUAUGUUCUCUGCCCUUGUAGAAAAAGGAGAUCUUACACUGAAAAAGCCCAAGGCCAGUUUUCAAUGUGACUACAUGAUCCUGUCAUGCCUGGAGGAAGGUAUCUGAAGAUCAAUUUUACCAGCAUCCCUCUCUGAUGGAGUUUGAAUGACCCUUGGGGUCAUUAAUCGCAGCAACUUACAUUUGGAUAUUUUCCAAAUGCUUUCCAGUUUGUUAUCUCUCAUGACCCUUGCAACCACCUCCACAAGAAGAUAAGACAGGUAUUAAUAUGGCUGUUUGACAAGAAGAUAACCAGUUGAAGAGAAUUUAACUAACUGCCCUUCAGGUAAUAGACGUAGUUAAUUGAUAAGGAGGUAGAUGCCCGUGCACAGACAAAAAAGUCUAGCUCUGCCCAAGGGCCUUCAGAGGGUUGUUGCAAAAUGGCAGGAAAACUACCCCAGAGUCCAGGGUGUGUA